rnacentral:pre_miRNA from 1 species
UUAUCAGAGUUGGCGGUUUUAGAUUAACUGAUUCUAUCACAGCCAGCUUUGAUGAGC